UACGUAGGGUGCGAGCGUUGUCCGGAAUUAUUGGGCGUAAAGAGCUUGUAGGCGGUCUGUCGCGUCUGCUGUGAAAAUCCGGGGCUCAACCCCGGACUUGCAGUGGGUACGGGCAGACUAGAGUGUGGUAGGGGAGACUGGAAUUCCUGGUGUAGCGGUGAAAUGCGCAGAUAUCAGGAGGAACACCGAUGGCGAAGGCGGGUCUCUGGGCCGAUACUGACGCUGAGGAGCGAAAGUGUGGGGAGCGAACAGG
rnacentral:rRNA from 1 species